CAAUAGCGUAUAUUAAAGUUGUUGCAGUUAGAACGCUCGUAGUCGGAUUUCGGGGCGGGCCGACCGGUCUGCCGAUGGGUACGCACUGGUCGGCGCGUCCUUCCUUCCGGAGACCGUGCCUACUCUUAACUGAGCGGGGGCGGGAGACGGAUCGUUUACUUUGAAAAAAUCAGAGUGUUUCAAGCAGGCAGCUCGCUCUUGCAUGGAUUAGCAUGGGAUAAUGAAAUAGGACUUUGGUGCUAUUUUGUUGGUUUCGAACACCGAAGUAAUGAUUAACAGGGACAGUCAGGGGCACUCGUAUUCCGCCGAGAGAGGUGAAAUUCUCAGACCAGCGGAAGACGAACUACUGCGAANGNAUUUGCNAGGGAUGUUUNCACUG
rnacentral:rRNA from 1 species